UUUCAAAUGGUUAAACAUUAUAACCAUACAUUAUAAUAUUCUAAACCCGUCCCACCAUCUAAUCCAGUUCAGUAAAAUUA
rnacentral:sRNA from 1 species